UCCCUGGUGGUCUAGUGGUUAACGCUCUGCACUCCCAAUGCAGGGAGCCCAGGUUCAAUCCCUAGUCAGGGAA
rnacentral:tRNA from 1 species